rnacentral:rRNA from 1 species
GAUGAACGCUAGCGGCAGGCCUAAUACAUGCAAGUCGAGGGGUAGAAGAGGCUUGCUUCUUUGAGACCGGCGCACGGGUGCGUAACGCGUAUGCAACCUACCUUCAUCUGGGGGAUAGCCCGGAGAAAUCCGGAUUAAUACCGCAUAAAAUCACAGGAUGGCAUUAUCCAAUGAUCAAACAUUUAUGGGAUGGAGAUUGGCAUGCGUGUCAUUAGAUAGUUGGCGUGGUAACGGCCCACCAAGGCGACGAUGACUAGGGGAUCUGAGAGGAUGGCCCCCCACACUGGUACUGAGACACGGACCAGACUCCUACGGGAGGCAGCAGUAAGGAAUAUUGGUCAAUGGAGGCAACUCUGAACCAGCCAUGCCGCGUGCAGGAAGACUGCCCUAUGGGUUGUAAACUGCUUUUAUUCGGGAAUAAACCUUAUUACGUGUAAUAAGCUGAAUGUACCGAAGGAAUAAGGAUCGGCUAACUCCGUGCCAGCCGCCGCCGUAA